GGGGCUAUAGCUCAGCUGGGAGAGCGUUUGCAUGGCAUGCAAGAGGUCGGCGGUUCGAUCCCGCCUAGCUCCACCA
rnacentral:tRNA from 1 species